rnacentral:rRNA from 1 species
GGGUUGUGAGGUUAAGCGACUAAGCGUACACGGUGGAUGCCCUGGCAGUCAGAGGCGAUGAAGGACGUGCUAAUCUGCGAUAAGCGUCGGUAAGGUGAUAUGAACCGUUAUAACCGGCGAUUUCCGAAUGGGGAAACCCAGUGUGUUUCGACACACUAUCAUUAACUGAAUCCAUAGGUUAAUGAGGCGAACCGGGGGAACUGAAACAUCUAAGUACCCCGAGGAAAAGAAAUCAACCGAGAUUCCCCCAGUAGCGGCGAGCGAACGGGGAGCAGCCCAGAGCCUGAAUCAGUGUGUGUGUUAGUGGAAGCGUCUGGAAAGGCGCGCGAUACAGGGUGACAGCCCCGUACACAAAAAUGCACAUGCUGUGAGCUCGAUGAGUAGGGCGGGACACGUGGUAUCCUGUCUGAAUAUGGGGGGACCAUCCUCCAAGGCUAAAUACUCCUGACUGACCGAUAGUGAACCAGUACCGUGAGGGAAAGGCGAAAAGAACCCCGGCGAGGGGAGUGAAAAAGAACCUGAAACCGUGUACGUACAAGCAGUGGGAGCACGCUUAGGCGUGUGACUGCGUACCUUUUGUAUAAUGGGUCAGCGACUUAUAUUCUGUAGCAAGGUUAACCGAAUAGGGGAGCCGAAGGGAAACCGAGUCUUAACUGGGCGUUAAGUUGCAGGGUAUAGACCCGAAACCCGGUGAUCUAGCCAUGGGCAGGUUGAAGGUUGGGUAACACUAACUGGAGGACCGAACCGACUAAUGUUGAAAAAUUAGCGGAUGACUUGUGGCUGGGGGUGAAAGGCCAAUCAAACCGGGAGAUAGCUGGUUCUCCCCGAAAGCUAUUUAGGUAGCGCCUCGUGAAUUCAUCUCCGGGGGUAGAGCACUGUUUCGGCAAGGGGGUCAUCCCGACUUACCAACCCGAUGCAAACUGCGAAUACCGGAGAAUGUUAUCACGGGAGACACACGGCGGGUGCUAACGUCCGUCGUGAAGAGGGAAACAACCCAGACCGCCAGCUAAGGUCCCAAAGUCAUGGUUAAGUGGGAAACGAUGUGGGAAGGCCCAGACAGCCAGGAUGUUGGCUUAGAAGCAGCCAUCAUUUAAAGAAAGCGUAAUAGCUCACUGGUCGAGUCGGCCUGCGCGGAAGAUGUAACGGGGCUAAACCAUGCACCGAAGCUGCGGCAGCGACGCUUAUGCGUUGUUGGGUAGGGGAGCGUUCUGUAAGCCUGUGAAGGUGUGCUGUGAGGCAUGCUGGAGGUAUCAGAAGUGCGAAUGCUGACAUAAGUAACGAUAAAGCGGGUGAAAAGCCCGCUCGCCGGAAGACCAAGGGUUCCUGUCCAACGUUAAUCGGGGCAGGGUGAGUCGACCCCUAAGGCGAGGCCGAAAGGCGUAGUCGAUGGGAAACAGGUUAAUAUUCCUGUACUUGGUGUUACUGCGAAGGGGGGACGGAGAAGGCUAUGUUGGCCGGGCGACGGUUGUCCCGGUUUAAGCGUGUAGGCUGGUUUUCCAGGCAAAUCCGGAAAAUCAAGGCUGAGGCGUGAUGACGAGGCACUACGGUGCUGAAGCAACAAAUGCCCUGCUUCCAGGAAAAGCCUCUAAGCAUCAGGUAACAUCAAAUCGUACCCCAAACCGACACAGGUGGUCAGGUAGAGAAUACCAAGGCGCUUGAGAGAACUCGGGUGAAGGAACUAGGCAAAAUGGUGCCGUAACUUCGGGAGAAGGCACGCUGAUAUGUAGGUGAAGUCCCUCGCGGAUGGAGCUGAAAUCAGUCGAAGAUACCAGCUGGCUGCAACUGUUUAUUAAAAACACAGCACUGUGCAAACACGAAAGUGGACGUAUACGGUGUGACGCCUGCCCGGUGCCGGAAGGUUAAUUGAUGGGGUCAGCGCAAGCGAAGCUCUUGAUCGAAGCCCCGGUAAACGGCGGCCGUAACUAUAACGGUCCUAAGGUAGCGAAAUUCCUUGUCGGGUAAGUUCCGACCUGCACGAAUGGCGUAAUGAUGGCCAGGCUGUCUCCACCCGAGACUCAGUGAAAUUGAACUCGCUGUGAAGAUGCAGUGUACCCGCGGCAAGACGGAAAGACCCCGUGAACCUUUACUAUAGCUUGACACUGAACAUUGAGCCUUGAUGUGUAGGAUAGGUGGGAGGCUUAGAAGUGUGGACGCCAGUCUGCAUGGAGCCGACCUUGAAAUACCACCCUUUAAUGUUUGAUGUUCUAACGUUGACCCGUAAUCCGGGUUGCGGACAGUGUCUGGUGGGUAGUUUGACUGGGGCGGUCUCCUCCUAAAGAGUAACGGAGGAGCACGAAGGUUGGCUAAUCCUGGUCGGACAUCAGGAGGUUAGUGCAAUGGCAUAAGCCAGCUUGACUGCGAGCGUGACGGCGCGAGCAGGUGCGAAAGCAGGUCAUAGUGAUCCGGUGGUUCUGAAUGGAAGGGCCAUCGCUCAACGGAUAAAAGGUACUCCGGGGAUAACAGGCUGAUACCGCCCAAGAGUUCAUAUCGACGGCGGUGUUUGGCACCUCGAUGUCGGCUCAUCACAUCCUGGGGCUGAAGCAGGUCCCAAGGGUAUGGCUGUUCGCCAUUUAAAGUGGUACGCGAGCUGGGUUUAGAACGUCGUGAGACAGUUCGGUCCCUAUCUGCCGUGGGCGCUGGAGAACUGAGGGGGGCUGCUCCUAGUACGAGAGGACCGGAGUGGACGCAUCACUGGUGUUCGGGUUGUCAUGCCAAUGGCACUGCCCGGUAGCUAAAUGCGGAAGAGAUAAGUGUUGAAAGCAUCUAAGCACGAAACUUGCCCCGAGAUGAGUUCUCCCUGACUCCUUGAGAGUCCUGAAGGAACGUUGAAGACGACGACGUUGAUAGGCCGGGUGUGUAAGCGCAGCGAUGCGUUGAGCUAACCGGUACUAAUGAACCGUGAGGCUUAACCUUACAACGCCGAAGCUGUU